GGGGAAUAGAGAGAUGGGGAGACAGAGAGGGAAGAAUGAGACACGGGGAGAAAGAGGGGGAAUAGAGAGAUGGGGAGGGGGAGAAAGAGACAGAGAGGGAAGAAUGAGACACAGGGGGAAUAGAGAGAUGGGGAGGGGGGAGACAGAGAGGGAAGAAUGAGACACGGGGAGAAAGAGGGGGAAUAGAGAGAUGGGGAGGGGGAGAAAGAGACAGAGAGGGAAGAAUGAGAC